rnacentral:rRNA from 1 species
CAGCAAAACUGCAAAUGGCUCAUUAAAACAGUUAUUGUUUACUUGAUAAUAAUUUUUACAUGGAUAACCGUGGUAAUUCUACAGCUAAUACAUGAGCAAAAUCUCAACUUUAUUAGAAGAGACGCAUUUAUUAGAUAAAAAGCCAGUUCAUGCUUUUAUAGUAUGAAAAUUGGUGAUUUAUAAUAACUUAGCAAAUCGCAAAGUGAAAACAGGCGAUAAAUCAUUCAAGUUUCUGACCUAUCAGCUUUCGACGGAAUGGUAUUGGCUUACCGUGGCAGUGACGGUUAACGGGGGAUUAGGGUUCGAUUCCGGAGAGGGAGCCUGAGAAACGGCUACCACAUCUAAGGAAGGCAGCAGGCGCGCAAAUUACCCAAUUCUAACAGUUUGAGAGAGGUAGUAACAAGAAAUAACAAUACAAGGCAGUUAAAAUGCUUUGUAAUUGGAAUGAUAGAAAUUUAAACCCUUUUUAAAGUAUCAAUUGGAGGGCAAGUCUGGUGCCAGCAGCCGCGGUAAUUCCAGCUCCAAUAGCGUAUAUUAAAAUUGUUGCAGUUAAAAAGCUCGUAGUUGAAGUUCUGCUGAAAGUAACCGGUCUGCUUUUAAUAAAAGUGGUAUCUUGGUAUGUAUUUAGCAAUGAUGUCCUUUGAAGUGUUUUUUACUUUAUUGUAAUAAAGCAUAUUCAGGACUUUUACUUUGAGAAAAUUAGAGUGUUUCUAGCAGGCUAACGCUUUGAAUACUGCAGCAUGGAAUAAUAAGAUAGGAUUUUAGUUCUACAUUAUUGGUUUUAAGAGCUAAAUUAAUGAUUGAUAGGGACAGUUGGGGGCAUUUGUAUUUAACUGUCAGAGGUGAAAUUCUUAGAUUUGUUAAAGACAAACUACUGCGAAAGCAUUUGCC